AAAAAAUAAGUUGGUUGCAAGAUCUUAGAGAUAAUGUCAAACAUUAUCUAUAUGGUAUCCUAUUUCAAAUCAAAUUUGAACAUACCAUUGAGAACUUGAUCCUACCUAAAUUUGGACAUGAUAUAGAGAUGAGAAAGAACUCUUUGAUGUUAAAAAAUCUCACACAAAAACUAUUUUAGCAUGGAGAAAGAUGGCAUCAAAGUGGGAGGC
rnacentral:lncRNA from 1 species